ACAUGAGAUAACCUCUUGAGAUCUAGGCUAUGUUUAGUUAAAGUAAUCCAAAAUAACCUAUAGCUAUAGAGAGCUGCUUUCUACGGGGGAUGUCGGAGAGCAGAAUCAAAUUAUGCAGUCCUUUUGUAAAUAUGGUCUAAAAUCGCAUUGACAAAAUGAAAGGCGAGAUCAAUCGAGCUAUUGUGUCGCCCGAGGUGAUCGCUUUUAGGUCUCGCGCGAGCAGUCGCGCGAUGGAGCGCUACGAGAAGCUCGCCAAGCUGGGCGAGGGCUCGUACGGGCUCGUGUACAAGUGCCGCAACCGGGACACCGGCGAGAUCGUCGCCGUCAAGAAGUUUGUUGAGAACGAAGAUGAUCCACUCAUCCGGAAGAUUGCCCUCAGGGAGAUACGAAUGCUAAAAAACUUGAAGCAUCCAAACUUGGUGAACCUGAUCGAGGUGUUCCGUCGCAAGCGCAAGCUGCACCUCGUGUUCGAGUACUGCGACCACACGGUGCUGCAUGAGUUGGAGAAAUAUCCUGCUGGCUGUCCAGAGCUCCUAUCGAAGCAGAUAAUCUGGCAGACACUGCAGGGCGUGGCAUACUGCCACCGACACAACUGCAUCCACAGAGACGUCAAACCGGAGAACAUACUGCUCACCAGCGAGGGAGUCGUCAAACUUUGUGACUUCGGCUUCGCAAGGAUGAUCAGUCCUGGAGAGAGCUACACAGACUACGUGGCGACGCGGUGGUACCGCGCGCCUGAGCUACUUGUCGGAGACACCAUGUACAGCACACCGGUCGACGUCUGGGCUAUAGGUUGCGUCUUCGCAGAACUUCUGUCAGGCGAAGCUUUAUGGCCGGGUAAAAGCGACCUAGACCAAUUAUAUCUAAUACGAAAAACCCUUGGGGAUCUACUGCCCAGGCAUAUGACAAUAUUCUCACAAAACACCUUUUUUCAGGGUAUGGCGCUGCCGGAGCCAACCACGGUGGAGCCUCUACAAAAGAAAAUACCUCAACGGUACUCCUGCAACGAGCUGGUGCUAGACUUUAUGCAUAAAUGCUUAGAUAAAGACCCAAUGGUGAGGUGGACCUGUGAACAACUGCUGAGGCAUCCCAUCUUCGAGAACUUCCUCUUCACGGUACCACAUUCAGACCAUGAAGAGUAUGAAAAAUCAAGAAGAGCGCAGCAUCGAUAUUUGGGUCGGAGAAGUCAUAUGCCAGACACUUUUCCUGAGCCAGUCACAGUGGAUAUUAGCGUCGCGCCAUCCCCAAAGAAGGGUAAAGGCAAAAAGAAAUAGCUGCGUAGAAAGGAACACCUUUUGUGGUGUAGGAGAAACUGGAUACAAAAGUGCAGUCAUCACCCCUGCUGCCCCAACUAAUAGUGACGGACCGCGGCCAGCAGAACAAGAACAAGAAGACAGAGCUGGAC